rnacentral:rRNA from 1 species
GAUGAACGCUGGCGGCGUGCCUAAUACAUGCAAGUCGAGCGAACGGACGAGAAGCUUGCUUCUCUGAUGUUAGCGGCGGACGGGUGAGUAACACGUGGAUAACCUACCUAUAAGACUGGGAUAACUUCGGGAAACCGGAGCUAAUACCGGAUAAUAUUUUGAACCGCAUGGUUCAAAAGUGAAAGACGGUCUUGCUGUCACUUAUAGAUGGAUCCGCGCUGCAUUAGCUAGUUGGUAAGGUAACGGCUUACCAAGGCAACGAUGCAUAGCCGACCUGAGAGAGGGAUCGGCCACACUGGAACUGAGACACGGUCCAGACGACUACGGGAGGCAGCAGUAGGGAAUCUUCCGCAAUGGGCGAAAGCCUGACGGAGCAACGCCGCGUGAGUGAUGAAGGUCUUCGGAUCGUAAAACUCUGUUAUUAGGGAAGAACAUAUGUGUAAGUAACUGUGCACAUCGUGACGGUACCUAAUCAGAAAGCCACGGCUAACUACGUG